rnacentral:rRNA from 1 species
AUUGAACGCUGGCGGCAUGCCUUACACAUGCAAGUCGAACGGCAGCACGGGAGCAAUCCUGGUGGCGAGUGGCGAACGGGUGAGCAAAGUAUCGGAACGUGCCCAGUCGUGGGGGAUAACGUAGCGAAAGUUACGCUAAUACCGCAUACGAUCUAUGGAUGAAAGCGGGGGAGCGCAAGACCUCGCGCGAUUGGAGCGGCCGAUAUCAGAUUAGGUAGUUGGUGGGGUAAAGGCUCACCAAGCCGACGAUCUGUAGCUGGUCUGAGAGGACGACCAGCCACACUGGGACUGGGACACGGCCCAGACUCCUACGGGAGGCAGCAGUGGGGAAUUUUGGACAGUGGGCGCAAGCCUGAUCCAGCCAUGCCGCGUGCAGGAUGAAGGCCUUCGGGUUGUAAACUGCUUUUGUACGGAACGAAAAGGUUUGGCUUAAUACGUUGAACUCAUGACGGUACCGUAAGAAUAAGCACCGGCUAACUACGUGCCAGCAGCCGCCGCAG